UGUAAAUUCUCAAACUAUGGAUAUAAUCUAAAAAUCUUUUAAUUUCGUCUUUGGCUCUGGCUCCAAGAUAUUUGGCUCUAGCUCCAAGAAAUUUGGCUCCAAUUUACUUCCAGGAAGUGGAAUAUUUGGCUCCAAAGAAUACAUGAGAAAACCCUAUAUUUUUGGUGGUGUUCUUUUUUACUCAUGUUCUCCAAACCUUCACAAUUGGUUAAAUCAUCACAAUCUGCUGAGCUACAGUUCGUAUCUUCUCAAUUCGUAGUCAACAAUCGGUCCCCUAAGCCCUUCUACCGACUCUGUCUUCUCCAAAUCCUCAUAAUCGGUCCGUCGUUUUCACUCUCUGCAAUUUGCAUUACUUCCUAUUUCUCUCGAAACGACUUCUUUUGGUAUUUACACACAGGGACUCUACAGUAGAUGUCUGAUGUAUCUUUUAUUGGGCCAUGUCUAUUUGAUGAUGAUUGAUAUAUAGACUCACACUCACCAUCUGAUACAAGUGUCGAUACUUCAAGAAUGGAAAAUUCCCCUGAUAUUAUUGUUGUUGAAAGCAACGAAGGAGAAGAUAAUGCAGGAGGAACCAAUGCGGCUAUAGGUAUUGGUUCAACACAAGUAAAUAAAACAAAUAUCAAAGAACAUACUCCAUAUGCUAAACGAAAAAGAAAGAAGACUUCAAGGGACAUUUCAAAACGAUAACAUUUGUAGAUGGAACUGAAGGUUCUGAAUGUGUUCACUGUGGUGAGAAAAUUAAGAAACUUAAGGAAGGGACGACCACACCAUUGCUUAGGCAUGUUAGUGAUUUCCUAAUAUUAAAUGGUGGCAAAGGUCAGUCAAAGUUAAAGGUAUCACAUGGAAAGACAGAUUCUUCAACUACGAUCCAAAAUUGGAAGUUUGACAAUACUAGGAUGAGGGAGGUUAUUUCUCACAUGAUUAUGAUUCAUGAGCUACCUUUUAAUUUUGUUGAAUAUGACUUGUUUAAUGUGGUGAUGAAAGAAGCUAAUCCACUAUUUAACAAGAUCUCACGUGCUGCAACUAGACAAGAUUGUGUGUCUAGUUAUGAAAUUGGAAAGAAAAAAAUCAAAAAAUGUUAAAUGCUGUCAAUCGUGUGAGCAUCACAACCGAUAUGUGGACAUCAUGUCAAAAUAUUCAUUAUAUGGUUGUGACAUGUCACUUUGUUGAUUCAGAUUAUAAGCUUCACAAAUGUAUUUUGAGUUUUGUUGAUGUGCCUCCACCAUAUUCAGGUGUUGGUAUAUAUGAUUGUUUAUACAAAUGUCUAAAAGAUUGGAAUAUUGAAAGUAAGGUGGCUAGUUUGACGGUUGACAAUGCUAAGACAAAUGAUGUGGUUGCUAGGAAGUUACUUGAAAAUUUGAAUCUUCAAAAGAAAGUUGUUGUUGGUGGGAAGUUAUUUCAUGUGCGUUGUUGUGCACAUAUAUUAAACUUGUUAGUUCAAGAUGGUUUGUCUGAAAUUAUAGAUAUAACCCACAAUGUUCGUGAAAGUGUGAAACAUGUAAAUGCCUUGGAGUUUAAAGAUGUGUUUAAGGAUUAUACUGAUAGAGAAUGUUCAUACACCACUUUGCCGAGUGACGACGAUUGGAAAAAAGUUGAAGAUAUUUGUUUGUUUUUAGCACUUUUCAACGAGGCUCCGAGUAUCCUACAUCAAAUCUAUUUCUUCUAGAGCUAUACGGAAUAAAGGAAUCAUUAGAUGAAUUAGUUUUGGAUGGGAAUGCUUACAUGAAACCAAUGGCUGUUAAGAUGAAAAGGAAGUUUGACAAAUAUUGGGGUCCUUGUAAUUUAUUGAUUUCCAUGGCUGCUGUUUUGGACCCUAGAUACAAGACAAAGUUACUUAACUUCUCUUUUAAGGCAAUCUACUCUAAUGACGAGGCAUCUACGCAUGUUAAACUUGUUAUAGAUACUUUGAAAGAAUUGUUUGUAGAGUAUGUUGAGUAGCAUAGAACUACAAAUGUUGUCCAAUAUUUGAAUACGGCAGAUGGAACUGAAAGUGAUGCAUCAAAAAGAGGUCCGAGUGUUACGACUUUGAGAUUUGGUAAGAGCAUCAGAAGUAGUACUGCUAAAUACAAUCAACAUAUCAGAAGUGUUGAUUCUAUUACUAGUGUAGAGUCAGAAUUAGACACUUACCAGGAAGAAGGGGUUUAUAUUAGUGAGCCGGGUGCAUAUUUUGAUGCCUUAGGGUGGUGGAAGGAGAAAAAAACUUAAGUUCAAAAUUCUAUCUAAAAAGGCUGCUGACAUUUUGGCAAUUCCUGUCACAACUGUUGCUUCUGAAUCUGCUUUCAGUGCCAGUGGAAGGGUUAUUGAUCCACACCGUUCCUCUUUAGGAACUAAGAUGGUAGAUAUGCGUAUAUGUGGAUCUGAUUGGUAUCGUCAAUAUUACGGACUAUAGAAAAAGAAAAACAAGGAAAUUGAUGAUGUUAUAUAUAUUGAUCUUCCGUGAGGUGUGACCAUUUGAAAAGUUAUGAAGUGUGAUCAUAUUCAAGAUAAUGUUUGUGUGAUGUAGAUAAAGGGCGAAGAACUUUAAUUUUGCAUUUUGGAAAAGAUAUUUGAUGUGAUGAAGUUAAAGGUCAAGCUAUGCAAGUUUUUUUGCAGAAGAUAUUUGAAAAAAAAAAAAGACAAUAUUUUAAGUAAUUUUGGAUGUUUUUAAUCGUAGGAUUUGUUAUAACACAUGUAUUUAUGUUUUGGUGUUAAUGGUGUUUUAUCUUUAUUUAA